GCCGAGGUAGCUCAAUUGGUAGAGCAUUCGCUUCGUAAGCGAAGGGUUGUGGGUUCAAGUCCCAUCCUCGGCU
rnacentral:tRNA from 2 species